GUCCACGCCGUAAACGAUGGGCACUAGGUGUCGGGGGUAUCCACUCCCUCGGUGCCGCCGCUAACGCAUUAAGUGUCCCGCCUGGGAAGUACGGUCGCAAGAUUAAAACUCAAAGGAAUUGACGGGGGCCCGCACAAGCGGUGGAGCAUGUGGUUCAAUUCGAUGCUACGCGAAGAACCUUACCUGGGUUUGACAUCUGGCGAAUUUUCUGGAAACAGAGAAGUGCCCGCAAGGGAACGCCAAGACAGGUGCUGCAUGGCUGUCGU
rnacentral:rRNA from 1 species